CCAGCUCGCCCCUUAUCAUUUACAAGAACAAAGACAUUCCUGCAUACCAAAAUGGCUCGAGAAGUGUUUUCUGAUCCUUACUCUUAACACAUUAACAUAACAAUGGAUAAAUUGGUGAUAGUGAGAACUCUUUAGUGUUCGAUCUCAUAGAGAUCUUUAGGUUUUAUUGCCCCACCCUCGUAACCAACAACCACCAAUGCCUCUGCUUUGGAAUCUGCUACCUUCAGCACCCUUCAUUUUCGUUGCCUCAUAUCGUCAAGAUCAAUCAACUGCCCUCAUCAUCUUCUGCUUUGAUUUUCAACCUAGAAACCAUUCACAUACUACCCCUUUUAGUCACUACGUGAAUCAAACCUUAUUUCCCUUCACCUUCUUUCACCAUCACCAUAAAAAAAUGAUUUCUGAAAUGUAAUCUUAAUCUUAGUCGAUUUCGGAUGUAAAAGCCCUAUAUCUUUCCAUCUCUAUCACCCUCACCGAAUAUCUCCAUUUCUCUUGUUUCCCUUCUAUUGACAAUUGAAGGAAAAGUAAACUGGGUAUUGAUUGAUUUUGUUCUCUCUGAUGAAAAGUGUGGUUUAGGGUUUUUAUGAUUUGGGAUUUAUUCCGAAUUUGUCCUCCAUAUUUCUUUCAGGUAAGUUAGUAUAUCCCAAUCUAGGUUCAUGAUUGACACAUUUCAUUACUACUCCGUUUUGUUCUUAUUUCGUUUCAAAUCUGUAAAUACGACUUUCAUAUGGGUUCCAUUCUAAACCUUUUUAACUUUCUUGGUUAAUGUGUAUCUAGAUUUGUGUGUUGUAAACUAGGUUGAACUUCUAAACAAUGUCGUGAACAAAGCAAAUUGAUGAUAAGUAGCAACAUGGGUGAUAUUUGCAGCCAUGGUCUAAGCUUU
rnacentral:lncRNA from 1 species